UUCCCAUUGAGCUUCAGCAACAUUGGUGAAA
rnacentral:piRNA from 1 species